rnacentral:rRNA from 1 species
AACGUAGGAGACAAACGUUAUCCGGAGUUACUGGGCGUAAAGGGCGUGCAGGUGGUCUGUUAAGUCUGGCGUGAAAGCUCUCGGCUAAACCGGGAGAGGUCGUUGGAUACUGGCGGACUAGAGGACGGUAGAGGCGUGUGGAAUUCCGGGUGUAGUGGUGAAAUGCGUAGAGAUCCGGAGGAACCCCAGUGGCGAAGGCGACACGCUGGGCCGUACCUGACACUAAAACGCGACAGCAUGGGGAGCGAACGGG